GAAGUGAGCCAAACGAUCGCCGCUGUGGAUGUCUCCGUGACAGAAGCAGGGGAGGAAAGUCCGGGCUUCAAAGGGCAAGGUGCCAGAUAACGUCUGGGCGGCGUGAGCCGACGGCAAGUGCAGCAGAGAGCAGACCGCCUGUUUUGCGUGUUCUUCGGAACUGCAAAAUCGGUAAGGGUGAAAGGGUGCGGUAAGAGCGCACCGCAUGGCUGGCAACAGUUCAUGGCAAGGUAAACCCCACCUGAAGCAAGACCAAAUAGGAAUCCUGAGGUGCGGCCCGCACUGGAUUCGGGUAGGUUGCUGGAGCGUAUGAGUGAUUGUACGCCUAGAGGAAUGAUCGUUCACGACAGAACCCGGCUUAUCGGCUCACUUCAUCC
rnacentral:RNase_P_RNA from 1 species